CAAACACACGCCGCGUGUGUGUCUGUGUGUGUGUGUAUGUAUCUAUAUAUGUAUAUAUAUAUAUAUUUAUAUAUAUAUAUAUACAUAUACACACACACACAUACACUGCUGUGUGUGCUGU